rnacentral:rRNA from 1 species
UACGUAGGGUGCGAGCGUUGUCCGGAAUUACUGGGCGUAAAGGGCGCGUAGGCGGCCGCCUAAGUCAGACGUGAAAUCCCUCGGCUCAACCGGGGAACUGCGUCUGAUACUGGGUGGCUUGAAUUCGGGAGAGGGAUGCGGAAUUCCAGGUGUAGCGGUGAAAUGCGUAGAUAUCUGGAGGAACACCGGUGGCGAAGGCGGCAUCCUGGACCGACACUGACGCUGAGGCGCGAAAGCUAGGGUAGCAAACGGG